UAGUAAUACGCCUUAAACUAACCAAUAUGAAGGUCCUAUUUUUCGCUUUGGCACUGCUCGUGGCUGGCACCUCAUGUCUGCCCGCCCAAGAAACAAACUUAGAUUUCCAUGUCAACGUUCCGGAAAAGACCGACCAACGCUUCGUUGAAGAUUUAGUCAGAGGUCUCAUUGAGCUAAUUCGAGACUUCAUUCGCAACAAUGGAUUGGAUCCCCUUGUUAUUGACAGAUUUGACUUCGCAUACAGCUUUCCUUUCCUCGUUGAUAUCUAUGUGUACAUCGAAGACCUCAGUUUUACCGGGGCAAGUGACAUCGCGAUCCACGCACUGGAGUAUAAUAGUCUUUUGAACCGAUUCCGUUUCGAUUUGGAACUGCCUCGUCUUGCAUUGAGCGUUCGUGAUGCUGGUAUCGAUUCAAACGUUUUUGGAGAUUACCACAACCUACAAAUCAGUGGACAAUUCUCCAUCACUGGACUUCGCUUAUCUGGGGAAGGCUACGUUAAUACCGGCAUCAUUUCCGGUAUUACUCUCAGGUCUCUUGAUUUGAAAUUCAGCUUCGGUGACAUUAGGUCUAAUCUGGUACUAAUCUACCAAGGUGCUAAUUUCUCCAACAUCGUGAAUGCCUUACUAAAUGAGACAAUCCCCGAUUUCUUGAGGCGAUUCGAGGAUGACAUAAACAGAAUUAUCACCGAAAUCGUCACAAAUGCGGUGAACAGGAUCCUUGGAUAAGAGCAACUAAAGAAUUACAUCUUUCUAUGUGAAGCUCCAGACUUUAACGUUUUUCUGUGUUACAGAUGAAAUCUUUAAAUAAAAUAAAUAAAACUAAUUAAUAUUUUCGUA